rnacentral:rRNA from 1 species
AGCGUUGUUCGGAAUUACUGGGCGUAAAGCGCACGUAGGCGGAUUGGAAAGUAUGGGGUGAAAUCCCAGGGCUCAACCCUGGAACGGCCUUGUAAACUCCCAGUCUAGAGUUCGAGAGAGGUGAGUGGAAUUCCAAGUGUAGAGGUGAAAUUCGUAGAUAUUUGGAGGAACACCAGUGGCGAAGGCGGCUCACUGGCUCGAUACUGACGCUGAGGUGCGAAAGUGUGGGGAGCAAACAGG